rnacentral:tRNA from 1 species
GCCUAGGUGGCUCAGCCGGUAAAGCAUCUGCCUACAAUGCGGGAGACCCGGGUUCGAUCCCUGGGUUGGGAA